AAUUGGAGAUAAGAGUCUCACAGACUUUCCUACCUUGGAUGACUUUGAACUGAGAUUCUCAGAUCUCAGCCUCCUGAGUAGCUAGGAUUACAGGCGUGAGCCACCAGUGACUGGCUAAAGGAUGCAGUUUUACUUUGCACUAAUAAAUCUGCUUCUGCUUAAGUCUCCCUCUGUGUCCUUCCUCUAAUGACACCAAGAACUUUCUGCCCCUCCCCUGUGACUUGAAUCAUGACUAUACAAUCUGCCAAAAGCCCCCAGAAUUGGAACAAUCAAAGACAGACAAUUCAGGCCAACAGGAAUGUCCAAAGAAGUAAGUUAAACAGUUCCUCUACUCUGGCUCCUCCAAACAUAAAAGUAGAUACCAAAAUCUUUCUUGAAUCUUCCAAAUUGCAGCCAGUUCCACUUCAGAGAGAAUUCUUUAUAUCUCUCACCCAAUCCUUGUAUACCAGUCUCUUUCUGGAGUUAGUUCAAAUUAAGAGUUGAGAAAGCAAUAUUUAAUUCAGGGCACUAAAAUACAAGUGAAAAGGCUAAAGCAUUUCCACUAAAACUACAUCAUGUUUUAUUACCAUGUUGAAUUCUUGUGGGCUAUCAAAUUGUUGCUCCGAUAGAUAAGUGAAAAUAUCUUAAGAAGAUCUCAGAGUUGUUUGAAACACAGUACUCUCAUGCUGAAGGCACUUUCAUGCUGACUGAGAACUCAAAAACAUUGCACAAAUACCACCAAAAAGUUCAAAUAACACAUAUAACAAUGGAUUCCUAGCCCUGUAUCUUGCUAGGUGUGGGAGAGUAUGGCCGAUUUAGACAGUGAGUCACAGCACUUAGCUAUUAUGUGCCCAAUGCUCAAGGCAGCAGGGACUGGUGAUGAAUCCAACAGGGAAGUAGGCUGGUCACGUAUAACAUGUGUAUCUACCUCGGUGGGGAGGAAUUGCUGGGCAGCGGAAGUACUACAUGCAUAGAAGGUGAGGCAUAGUUGGCUUCCUGGUUCCUGUCUCAGAUGAGGCUUGGUGUACAGCCCCACAAGUCCCAACAAGAGGCACCCCAUGUGAACUCAAGUUGAGAACAGUCCUCCUCUUCCACGAACUUAGCAGAUUCUCUUCCCACACACCUAGAGCAUGGAUGUGACCCCAGUAAACUGCCUGACCUAAGCAGAAGCUGGGCAAGAACCAGAGGUUUGUCCCCCCCACAGACUCUAUGACUUUCUGCCCCAUAUCUGAGUUCCUCUGACCUCCCUUCAGAGACUAUGAACCUUCAUACCCAUGUGCAGCUGGGCAUGAACCCACAUAUAAAAUCCUUUAACUAAAGCAUAUGUUCUACCCCAGGACUUCCUGGAA